UUUUAUGCUUGAGAUGUAAGGUCUGCGCGUUAUCAUGAAUGGGGGGGAGUGAGGACAGGUGAGAGGGUGAGAAGAGUGAUGCGGUGAUAAACAGAGGCAGAGUAGGGGUGAUGAACGGAAUUUCGGGGAGGAGAAUGCCGCCACCUACUGCGAGGGCGAUUGCUAGGGCUUUCUCUGCCGUGGAAGUGACGGAAAGUACGAAGCUACCUGUGGCUGUGUGGAGCCAAGCGGCGCUAAAUUUCGGUGAGGAGUUAGGGUUCAUGCGGAGAUUAAGAACGGUAUUAGUGGUGAUUCAACAGCUGGGUUUAAUCUGAGAAGGAUUCCAUUUUUGGUGAUGAACAAAAUAGGGAUUGAGCACAUGGACUGUGAUGAUUCGAAAUUGAAAAGGCAGCCUACAAGAACUAUGAAGACCAUCUAUGACUUUUUGAAGUAAAAAUGAUGGAGACAGAGUAUUGUGGCUGUUGUUGUGAAGGCUGUUGGAGAAAGCUACGAGUCAUCCACCUCCCUCAGCAUUGCUAAGUCCGUAAAGAAUGUUUAAAGUUCACGCCUCUGUUUCAGUCCAGACGCUCAAGCCCAAGGACAAGUCUGAUUGCUUUGGUGUUUUUUUGCCAAACAUAACAUCUAUAUGUGGUUCAUACCCUUUAUUCUAUAAUAUCAAAAUCAUGUGUGUUUCUUUAAUUUUAUAGAUUUUAUCGGGCUUUAAUGGAUGGUUGUUUCUUCUGA